CCUACGGGAGUCUGCAGUGGGGAAUAUUGCACAAUGGGGGAAACCCUGAUGCAGCGACGCCGCGUGAGUGAAGAAGUAUUUCGGUAUGUAAAGCUCUAUCAGCAGGGAAGAAGAAAGACGGUACCUGACUACGAAGCCCCGGCUCACUACGUGCCAGCAGCCGCGGUAAUACGUAGGGGGCAAGCGUUAUCCGGAUUUACUGGGUGUAAAGGGAGCGUAGACGGCUGUGCAAGUCUGGAGUGAAAGGCCGGGGCCCAACCCCGGGACUGCUCUGGAAACUGCCUGGCUGGAGUACAGGAGAGGUAAGUGGAAUUCCUAGUGUAGCGGUGAAAUGCGUAGAUAUUAGGAGGAACACCAGUGGCGAAGGCGGCUUACUGGACUGUAACUGACGUUGAGGCUCGAAAGCGUGGGGAGCAAACAGGAUUAGAUACCCGUGUAGUC
rnacentral:rRNA from 1 species